CCCCCGUGGAGGAAAUGUGAACUGUCGCUGAUGUCACGCAAAGGAAAGGAAAAACGUGAUAUGAAGAUGAGACCACGCCAAAGAAGUUAAGGAGCAGACAUACCUGGACCAACGAUGCAGGCAGCAAGUGUGUGUCCCGUGGCCGGUGUGUGUGAGGCUUUGCAGCAGCUAUUGACACGGCUGGAUUCCUCCUCAGCUCAGCUGGAUCACCUAAUAGUCCAGGCGGAGCUGCUGGUGUGUGACGUGAGUCUGUGCUUCACCCAUCCUGAGCUGUGGAUGCUGCUGAGGCCUGGAGAGACUGAUGAUCCCGUCCAUGACCACGCUGUUGGCGUGGGACCAGAAAAGACUCCUUGUUAGACGAACACUCCCGCCGGCGUGCUUGAACACUCCCGCCGGCGUGCUCAGAUAAUGAUUGGGUAUUCAAUGAUCCCUGCAUAAUAUAAGGUGUAUUUUGGUAACUGCAGUGGAACUAUACUGAAUGGGUAUUCAAUGACCCCUGCAUAAUAUAAGGUGUAUUUUGGUGACUACAGUGGAACUAUACUGUUAAGCUGCAUGCUAAGGUGUUUACAAAUAAAAACAACAAUAAAGUCUGUUGCAUCAAA